UCUCCCGUUGAUCCUGCGGGGGGCCACCGCUAUCCCCGUCCGACUAACCCAUGGGAGGUUAGGGGUACCGGGUAAGGUACCCCGCCGCACGGCUGAGUAACACGUCGGCAACCUACCCUCGGGAGGGGGAUAACCCCGGGAAACUGGGGAUAAACCCCCAUAGGAGAUGGGUGGUGGAAUUCCCCCAUCUCCGAAAGGGAGUGGGGAUAAUCCUUCCCCACUCCGCCCGAGGAUGGGCCGGCGGCCUAUCAUGGUAGUUGGCGGGGUAACGGCCCGCCAAGCCGAAGACGGGUAGGGGCCGUGAGAGCGGGAGCCCCCAGAUGGGCACUGAGACAAGGGCCCAGGCCCUACGGGGCGCACCAGGGGCGAAACCUCCGCAAUGGGUAUAUGCCUGACGGGGGGACGGGGAGUGCCCAGGGGUUUUCCCCUGGGCUUUUCGGGAGUGUAAAAAGCUCCCGGAAUAAGCGGUGGGCAAG
rnacentral:rRNA from 1 species